rnacentral:rRNA from 1 species
UACGAAGGGUGCAAGCGUUACUCGGAAUUACUGGGCGUAAAGCGUGCGUAGGUGGUUCGUUAAGUCUGAUGUGAAAGCCCCGGGCUUAACCUGGGAAUGGCAUUUGGGACUGCAAGGCUUGAGUGCGGCAGAGGAGACUGGAAUUCCUGGUGUAGCAGUGAAAUGCGUAGAUAUCAGGAGGAAUACCGAUGGCGAAGGCAGGUCUCUGGGCUGACACUGACGCUCAUGCACGAAAGCGUGGGGAGCGAACAGG